rnacentral:pre_miRNA from 1 species
UGUUAAAAAUUUCAUCCAUUUGUACUAUUAAAAACUAGUGUGAUUAACAAAAUAAUAAUUAGAUCAUUCUGAUAUAUAAAUAUCAGUCUUUAACGGUAGAAAUUGAUGAAACUUUAAUA